UUGACAAUUUGUAUUAUACUCAGAGAGACAACGCUAGAGACAGAGUUGUAGGCCGCCGGCGGGCUCAACGGCGCGAGGCCGGGCGCCCGCCGAGGCAACGUUUCGGUAGGUUCGCGAGGGUUGCAGGGAGAUCUUGCGAUUCCUGUAAUGAUCCCUCCGCUGGUUCACCAACGGAGA
rnacentral:misc_RNA from 1 species